ensembl:snRNA LOC120103235 U1 spliceosomal RNA
AAACUCACCUUUCAGGGGAGAUAACAUGUUCACAAAGGUGGCUUUCCCAGGGUGACGUUUGUUUAUCACACUCUGGAUGUCCUGACCCUUGUGAUUCCCCAAGUGUGGAAAACUAGCUGCAAAAUUUAUGGCAGUAGAGGACCAUGUUUAAGAUCCCCUCAU